rnacentral:snRNA from 1 species
UCCCUUACCUGGCAGGGGAGAUACCAUGAUCACGAAGGUGGUUUUCCCAGGGCGAGGCUUAUCCAUUGCACUCUGGAUGUGCUGACCCCUGCGAUUUCCCUAAAUGUGGGAAACUCGACUGCAUAAUUUGUGGUAGUGGGGGACUGCGUUCGCGCUCUCCCCUG